GAUGAACGCUGGCGGCGUGCCUAAUACAUGCAAGUCGAGCGAACGGACGGGAAGCUUGCUUCUCUGAUGUUAGCGGCGGACGGGUGAGUAACACGUGGAUAACCUACCUAUAAGACUGGGAUAACUUCGGGAAACCGGAGCUAAUACCGGAUAAUAUUUUGAACCGCAUGGUUCAAAAGUGAAAGACGGUCUUGCUGUCACUUAUAGAUGGAUCCGCGCUGCAUUAGCUAGUUGGUAAGGUAACGGCUUACCAAGGCAACGAUGCAUAGCCGACCUGAGAGGGUCACCAGCCUCAGUGGGACGGAGAAAGGGUCCAGACGCCUACGGGAGGCAGCAGUCUGGAAGCGCCCCGGAUGGGGGAAAGCGUAACGCUGCAAAUCCGCGUCAGUGAUGAAUGUAUACGAAUUGUAAAACUCUUUUAUUAGCUAAGCACAGAUGUGCAAUAAACCAUCCCCAUCUCUACGUUCCCGAAUCAGACAGCCAUGGCGAACUACGUG
rnacentral:rRNA from 1 species